UGCUACUAUUUUGCCUAUUUUACGAUGAGGAAACUCAGCAAUGGAGAAUCAACUUGCUCAACAUCAUGCAAUGAGUAAGUGGUAGAACUAGAAUUUAAACCCUGGCAAGCUGCUCCAGAACCUAUGCAUCUUGUUGAUUAAAAAAAAGGAAAAAAAGUGAAAAGAAUUCCAAAGUAGAGCAGCAGGGCAUCAGGCACUUCCUGGAAGAUGCUCAGCCAUCAGGGAAUGUGAAGAGGUGUCUUUAUGCAGAGUCCUAUGCUAAGUGCUGGGGGCACACAGAUGACUAAAACAGCACACUUCCUGACUUCCAAACCCCCAGCUUGGGUAGCAGUCAGAUGUACUAUUGUCAUAAACCUCGGUGCUAACACCAGCAGGUGGAACUUUGACAAUCACAAUUGAUUGCUAUUUAUCUGACAGAGCACAAAGGAGUCUGGUUACAGAACAAGAGACUAAGGUAAAGCGAAAGGUAAGUCAGAUGGCCAGAGAUGGUUAUGGGAAAUCAGCGUCCUUAUUCCCUGGGUUUGUGUGGAUCAUACCUUAGAGGGACAAGAUGCCUUGGGUACUCAAAGGGAAACUCCCUCCUCAACUUUCAAAACCCAGCCAAUUCCUUGUACCAGGGCAGGGGUCCAGGCUUUGGUAACUCAAAACUAAUAGAAGACUCAGAACUCUCCACAACUCUCAGCAUCUUUGCACAUGCAGAUGAAAACACUCCUGGGAAUCUACAAAUGAUCAUCGUAGAAAAUGUCAGUGGCAUGAUUCCCACCAAUGGCCCUCUGCCUUUAGCUUUUUAAAGCGCUACACGCUUAUAAUUGAAGUCACAUUUGUAAACAUAAAGCAUUUCCAAUAAUGACUAUAAGAACAUUUAAUACUUUAUGAACAGUUUGUAUUUCCUGUCUAGAAAUAUCCUAAAAACCAUCUGUGGAGUAAGUUUAGAUUCUGAGCUCAGAAGCGAAGUUUUCAGAUAUAGCCUCCCGUGCUCUGGUGAUUGAAAUAAACAGGUGCUCAACUGGAAAAAAAAUUCUUUUUUGUUUUUUCCCAUGCAAUAAUAGAAUUUAUGAACUGAUUCUACGGCAUUUAGGCCUGUAGGCAUUUAUAUUCAAGCUUUGUUUUAUUAUUUUUUAACAUGUGAUUUUUUAGAACUAUUGAGUGACUUAUGAAAAAUACAGUAACCUGUUGUUAUCUGUCAUAUUUUAGGAGUUCUCUGUUAAUGAAAUUUUCUGGUUCAAAGAGAGUUCACUAAUUGUAAAGAAUAGUAAAAAUACUCAGAAUAAUACUUAAAAGCAUUUACUAGGUCUUGAAACAAACUUAUCUUAAUAUUCUGCAAAGAAAUUUGAGUGAGAAAACUAAAGCAACUUGCUUGUAAUAAAAAGUAGCUCCACAGAUUUCCCACGUGCCAAGCAUUCUCUUAAGUAUUUUAUGUACAUGUUUACCUUAGUAAUCAUAAAAGAAAUCCAAGGAGAAACUUUGAUUAUUAUUGUCUUACAAAUGAGAUUUGGUAAGAAUUUUUGUCAAAAAUUGCUAUUAAAAGUUGUAGUCAGAGUCUUAUCAGAGUCUACCUAGUUCUAAAGUGGACUCUUACCUCUCUUCUUUGCGGCAUUCAGCAAUCCUUCUUUGAUGGUAGAAGAUACUUAUCAAGUCAUACAAGGAUGUAAAUAGGAAAAUGAAAUAUUUCCCAAAAAAGCUAAACAGUCUCUCUUUUGUCAAAAAUUUCAUCAUCAUCACUGAUAACAAACAUCUGCCAUCCCCAAAAACAGCCACCCAAAUUACAUCAAUGAUACUGAGUUGUUGAAAACUCCUCAUGCCUGGCAAGUAAUGGUCACUUUGGAUUCAAAAUAUCAGCUCAAUAGAAGGAACCACAAAAGGAAACAAUUCUGUAGCUUUGAUACAAAGCAUGCAUUGAAAAGGUAAUUUAUAAGAAAGGCAGAAUGAAUGGAUUUCAGGAUGAAAUAAUGAAUGUUAAAUUAGGCUUUUAAAAUCUUGAAUAAAGGAAGUUUCAUAAUGACUAAAUAUAAUUUUGUUUAAAAUUUUCUUCUUUUAUAUUAGCAUUUUUUAAGAAUAGCCAGUUAUCCAUCUUUAGCUGGCUUCUGAAAUUAAAUGAAUUGAUUUUUAAAAAGAGGGUUUUAAUAAGAUAUUUCUUGGUGUGCUUUCAUCUUCAUCCACAGUGUCCUUAUAGAGUCCAAGAGCUAAAGAGUAAUUUGAGGUUGUGUCCUUUUAGGACCAGGUGAAAUGGCAGUUAUCAAUGUAAUGGGGUCAGCAGAGGGCCAAACAGCUUUUCCUUAAUUAGCAUGUAAAAGAAAAUGUGGGCAAAUUAACCAUGUGUAACUAAAUCUCCACUUUAUUUGCUGCUGGGUAGCCAUAUUGCUAGAGCUAGAUUUAUCUUUUAAAAUGGAACUCUGGACAAUCCUGUAACAGUUCAUUUCACAUUCUUGAUCAUAUGUGUUCAUAAUAAUAAAACUCACAUGUAUUUAAUACUUACUACAUGCCAGGUUUUAGUGUUUUACAUAUACUACUCCAUUCUCACAAUAACACUAUGAGAUACUGAUUUUGGCAGGAUGCAUUGCAGAAAAAAUGAAACCGCUUCAUGCAAGCUGGGAUUCAAUACAAAAAUUAGAUGUUUACAAAGUUGUUGGAAAGGCUGAAGGAAUAGGUUCUAGGCUGGACCUCCAGAAGUAAUUCUGAGAGAAAUACAGAACUCUCCUGCUAGGAAAGCCACUACUUUCAAGGUCACUGAGAGCUAGUAAAUUCAAGAAUGCAUCCCAGAGCAGGAAUCCAGAUUUGAGAAGCUGCUGCAGCUCCCACCACUACCCCUGCUGUUGACACCAAAGAAGCUAGAAAAAGGAUGCUGGACUCCUGCUGCUGAUGUAGCCUCACACCUCCAAGAUCUAGCUUGCCAGCAGAAAAUUGGCCAAGUGAGGUGAGUGAAUGGCCUCCUCACGUCUGCCUUCCAAAUUUCAAACAAGUCAAUCUAAAUGACAAGACUGACCUAACUUCCAAAUCCCAACCUGCAAAGGAGUUUGAGAAAUGCAGAUUUUAGCUUUUCAACCUCAUAGGAGAGGAAGGACCCCUGGAGGGAGGUAGAAUGUAGGAUAAGCAAGGCAAUCCACUUAUUCCAGGUAAGUACUAUUAUUAUCAUCCUUAUGCCUCACUCUUCAGUUUGAUAGAUAGGGAAACUGAGGCACAGAGGAUUAAGUAAAUGGCUCAGCCAGGCAUGGUGGCUCAUGUCUGUAAUC